GUGAGUGCGGGGGUGUGUGUGUGUGUGUGUGUGUGUGUGUCUCCAGGGCCAUUUUCUCCCUUAGGCCCAGGGGCACA
rnacentral:miRNA from 10 species